AUUGAACGCUGGCGGCAUGCUUUACACAUGCAAGUCGAACGGUAACAGGCCUUCGGGUGCUGACGAGUGGCGCACGGGUGAGUAAUGCAUCGGAACGCACCCAGAGGUGGGGGAUAACGCAGCGAAAGCUGUGCUAAUACCGCAUGUGAUCUGAGGAUGAAAGCGGGGGACCGAGCAGCAAUGUUUGGCCUCGCGCCUUUGGAGCGGCCGAUGUCGGAUUAGCUAGUUGGUGGGGUAAAGGCCUACCAAGGCGACGAUCCGUAGCUGGUCUGAGAGGACGACCAGCCACACUGGGACUGAGACACGGCCCAGACUCCUACGGGAGGCAGCAGUGGGGAAUUUUGGACAAUGGGCGCAAGCCUGAUCCAGCAAUGCCGCGUGCGGGAAGAAGGCCUUCGGGUUGUAAACCGCUUUUGGCAGGAACGAAACGGUGUCCGCUAAUACCGGGCGCUAAUGACGGUACCUGCAGAAUAAGCACCGGCUAACUACGUG
rnacentral:rRNA from 1 species